GUAAAGGCGUUGAGGGGAAAGAGUAAGCAUCAAAACGGCAGUCCAGAGAGCAGGGGAAAGGUGCGAGCCCUGUCUGUACGCUGGUGCUGAAUGGUUCCCGGAGCCGCAGGGCGAACGGCAAAAAGCCCAGUAGCCCGUGCCGGAGGUGCCACCGUUAUCAGGGCAAAGAGUAUAUCCGGUUGAAUCCGGCGUACUCGCAAGAGUGAGGCUGGCCUUUUCUAUCCCGUCGCAUCACCGACGGGAUUUUUGAUAAAUGGGCCUGCCUAAGCAGGGUGGCACCACGGGAAACAGUCCCCUCCCGUCCCUGAG
rnacentral:ncRNA from 1 species